AUAUAUAUAUAUUGUGGAUGGUUGUCAGCUUGAAGCUAAUGUAUUAAUUAAUUAAUACAUUAGCUUCAAGCUGACAACCAUCCACAAUAUAUAU
rnacentral:pre_miRNA from 1 species